rnacentral:rRNA from 1 species
CACGGGGGUUGCGAGCGUUGUCCGGAAUUACUAGGCGUAAAGGGCAGGCAGGCGGAUCCAUAAGUUUGUCGUUUAAGGCGUCGGCUUAACCGGCGUAGGGCGGUAGAUACUGUGGAUCUGGAAUGCGGUUGGGGAAGACAGAAUUCCUGGUGUAGCGGUGGAAUGCGCAGAGAUCAGGAGGAAUACCGAAGGCGAAGGCAGUCUUCCAAGCCGUUAUUGACGCUCAACUGCGAAGGUGUGGGUAUCAAACAGGAUUAGAUACCCCUGUAGUCCCUGAG